GUAGUCAACAUGCCCAGGGGACGUGGAUAACCUCGGGAAACUGAGGAUAAACCGCGAUAGGCCGUGAUUUCUGGAAUGGUCCAUAGCCGAAAUCUAUAUGGCCCCUGGAUUGGACUGCGGCCGAUCAGGCUGUUGGUGAGGUAAUGGCCCACCAAACCUGUAACCGGUACGGGCUCUGAGAGGAGGAGCCCGGAGAUGGGCACUGAGACAAGGGCCCAGGCCCUAUGGGGCGCAGCAGGCGCGAAAUCUCUGCAAUAGGCGAAAGCUUGACAGGGUUACUCUGAGUGAUUCCCGCUAAGGGGAUCUUUUGGCACCUUUAAAAAUGGUGCAGAAUAAGGGGUGGGCAAGUCUGGUGUCAGCCGCCGCGGUAAUACCAGCACCCCGAGUGGUCGGGACGAUUAUUGGGCCUAAAGCAUCCGUAGCCGGUUCUGCAAGUCUUCCGUUAAAUCCAGCUGCUUAACAGAUGGGCUGCGGGGGAUACUACAGAGCUAGGAGGCGGGAGAGGCAAGCGGUACUCAGUGGGUAGGGGUAAAAUCCGUUGAUCCAUUGAAGACCACCAGUGGCGAAGGCGGCUUGCCAGAACGCACUCGACGGUGAGGGAUGAAAGCUGGGGGAGCAAACCGGAUUAGAUACCCGGGUAGUCCCAGCUGUAAACGAUGCAGACUCGGUGAUGGAUUAGCUUAUUGCUAAUCCAGUGCCGCAGGGAAACCGUUAAGUCUGCCGCCUGGGGAGUACGGUCGCAAGACUGAAACUUAAAGGAAUUGGCGGGG
rnacentral:rRNA from 1 species